rnacentral:misc_RNA from 1 species
UCUCCGUUGGUGAACCAGCGGAGGGAUCAUUACUGAGUGAGGGUCUCCGGGCCCGACCUCCAACCCUUUUGUGAACCACCUCGUUGCUUCGGGGGCGACCCUGCCGUUCGCGGCGUGGGGCCCCCGGAGCCCAUCAAACCCUGCGUAACUAAGUCGUCGGAGUUUAAACAAAUUAAACAAAACUUUCAACAACGGAUCUCUUGGUUCGGGCAUCGAUGAGAACCAGC